AUUGCUUUAGAAGCGUUGGUGUGUUUGACGUGCGAAUAGCUCAAAAUAGCCAACGAAGGGUAUAUUUGGUGUACAUUUUAGGGUUCAGGACUAACAAUAGUUUGUUGGAAGGGCUGGUACAAAAAAAACGCUCCCGCUGGCAUUCUUUCGAUAAUCAUUUUUUCCCGGGAACAAGUUAUUGCCGCAGAGGUUAAGAUGAGACUUCUAGUCGGUUGGCUAAUGCUUCUGGCUGCUUUCCUUGCUCUCAUCAAGCCUUCUCGUUCAAGCGACGGUUGCCUGGAACAAUGUUCAGCCAUGUUUCAUUCCUGCCUCACGACAUGCAUCCUUCCUGACGACUGCAUAUCAUGCACUUUCAACUCAGAAGAUUGCCGCCAAGACUGCAGAAGAAAGCGUGAAGUACUUCCAUCGUGGUUACAAUGGAAGCGACGCGCGUUCAGACACGACUCGAAAACAAGGACAAUCUAAAGCUUUUAUGAUAAAAUGUAGACAGUUAAAAUGGAUUAUAUAUUGUUAUAUAUAAAAUGUUAUUAGUUCGUAAA